UGUAGAAAUGAAAAUUUUCUAUCAGCCGUAUUCACCAUCCCGAAUUUGUAGAUCGUCAAUCAAAAGGAAAACACAGAUUUCUAGCACUCGGAAGAAAGCGAAAAACAUGAACAAUCCUUAACAAUACUGUCCAUGUAUAUUUAGAUAACUUUUAAAAAAAAUAUAUAAAGCUUUACACUGUAACAGUCAGAUUCCGGUAAUAGUUACAAGACUGUGACGUCACACUCGAGUAAGCCGUCUGACGCGUCUGACGUAUGCAAGACAGCGAAUGUGAAAGUACAUAGAAACUCUACAGACUGAUGAGAAUUACUUUAGACGGGGUACGUCAACGAAUAGGCACGACAGCGAAAAUACGGAAGUCACUUCGGGGACGUGUUGCAGAAUCGCAUAACUCUACACGAGAUUAAAAGAAAGAAAGAAAAGACAAUGAAGACAACCAUGUAAAAACAAAUUCAAUCAAUUAAAUUAUCAGCAGAUUGAAA